rnacentral:rRNA from 1 species
AGUGAACGCUGGCGGUAGGCCUAACACAUGCAAGUCGAACGGCAGCACAGUAAGAGCUUGCUCUUACGGGUGGCGAGUGGCGGACGGGUGCGGAAUACAUCGGAAUCUACUUUUUCGUGGGGGAUAACGUAGGGAAACUUACGCUAAUACCGCAUACGACCUACGGAUGAAAGCAGGGGAUCUUCGGACCUUGCGCGAUUGAAUGAGCCGAUGUCGGAUUAGCUAGUUGGCGGGGUAAAGGCCCACCAAGGCGACGAUGCGUAGCUGGUCUGAGAGGAUGAUUAGCCAGAUUGUAUGUGAGACACGGCCGAGACUCUGACGGUAGGCAGCAGUGGGGAAUAUUGGACAAGGGGGGAAAGCCUGAUCCAGCCAUACCGCGUGGGUGCAGAAGGCGUUCGGGUGGGAAAGUGCUGUAGUUGGGAAAGAAAAGAAGUUGUUUCAUACGCCGCUGUUCUGACGGUACCCAAAGAAGAAGCACCGGCUAACUUCGUG